AACCUGCAGUCUCACUAGGCACAGCCACAGAUCCCUCCAGUGUGGCCUCAAACAAGUCACUUCCCUUCACCCUGAUAAACAGAGUGAAGCCCUGGCAGGCUGUUCCUCACCUGGUAAGAGGGAAAGGAGAGAAGAUCAGGGUGGAGACCACCAGACCAGAGGUUUCUGACCCCAGGUCUUCACAAUUUUGAUCCUGUGAGAUUUUCUAUCUGGAAUAGUCUUUCCCUUUCACAACAAGAUGUCUGUAAAUCAACACACCAGCUUCUAUUGAAGAUCUUCUGAUUUCCCAAACAAGGCAAAUGCCAUUGAGCUGAGGGACACUCUUCAACAAGACAGAGGUAGUCACAGAAAGUUGUGGACUCAAGUUGAAAGGAUCUAAGUUGUAAAAUUAGACCCUUUUAUUUGAGUCUUGUCUGUCAUUUCCUCUCUGUGUAACUUGGACCAGCUGGUGCCUGAAGCAGAGGAUUGUGUCACCAAGUCAUGAGUGCUGUGGCAGCUGCAGAAUCCCGGGCACUGGACCUGUGGGAUUCACCACCACGCAGUCCAGAGGGCUUCCCUGUUCCUGCUGCGCAGUGUGACUUGCCUAUGGUGCUGCUGUGGCCUGCGUGUGGGUCCCUGAGGUCCUGCUGUGCACAUGCCCUGUAAUCUGUUGCUCUUCUCCCUUUCCAGGAGAAAAGAACCCUGAUCAUGGGUAUUUUUCCAUCUUUUCUACCUGCUCCCCUGCCAGCUCCAGAACUAUUUAUGCCAUAUGUUCAUUGUGCCUUCUACUAUUUACACAUCCCUGUCUGAAUGAUUCUUCAAUCCAGUCUUGUUUUCUAACAACUGUUGAUAACACAAAUAUAUUCGUUUUUUACUGCUUA